GACGAGGCACUACGGUGCUGAAGCAACAAAUGCCCUGCUUCCAGGAAAAGCCUCUAAGCAUCAGGUAACAUCAAAUCGUACCCCAAACCGACACAGGUGGUCAGGUAGAGAAUACCAAGGCGCUUGAGAGAACUCGGGUGAAGGAACUAGGCAAAAUGGUGCCGUAACUUCGGGAGAAGGCACGCUGACACGUAGGUGAAGUGAUUUACUCAUGGAGCUGAAGUCAGUCGAAGAUACCAGCUGGCUGCAACUGUUUAUUAAAAACACAGCACUGUGCAAACACGAAAGUGGACGUAUACGGUGUGACGCCUGCCCGGUGCCGGAAGGUUAAUUGAUGGGGUCAGCGCAAGCGAAGCUCCUGAUCGAAGCCCCGGUAAACGGCGGCCGUAACUAUAACGGUCCUAAGGUAGCGAAAUUCCUUGUCGGGUAAGUUCCGACCUGCACGAAUGGCGUAAUGAUGGCCAGGCUGUCUCCACCCGAGACUCAGUGAAAUUGAACUCGCUGUGAAGAUGCAGUGUACCCGCGGCAAGACGGAAAGACCCCGUGAACCUUUACUAUAGCUUGACACUGAACAUUGAGCCUUGAUGUGUAGGAUAGGUGGGAGGCUUUGAAGUGUGGACGCCAGUCUGCAUGGAGCCGACCUUGAAAUACCACCCUUUAAUGUUUGAUGUUCUAACGUGGACCCGUGAUCCGGGUUGCGGACAGUGUCUGGUGGGUAGUUUGACUGGGGCGGUCUCCUCCUAAAGAGUAACGGAGGAGCACGAAGGUUGGCUAAUCCUGGUCGGACAUCAGGAGGUUAGUGCAAUGGCAUAAGCCAGCUUGACUGCGAGCGUGACGGCGCGAGCAGGUGCGAAAGCAGGUCAUAGUGAUCCGGUGGUUCUGAAUGGAAGGGCCAUCGCUCAACGGAUAAAAGGUACUCCGGGGAUAACAGGCUGAUACCGCCCAAGAGUUCAUAUCGACGGCGGUGUUUGGCACCUCGAUGUCGGCUCAUCACAUCCUGGGGCUGAAGUAGGUCCCAAGGGUAUGGCUGUUCGCCAUUUAAAGUGGUACGCGAGCUGGGUUUAGAACGUCGUGAGACAGUUCGGUCCCUAUCUGCCGUGGGCGCUGGAGAACUGAGGGGGGCUGCUCCUAGUACGAGAGGACCGGAGUGGACGCAUCACUGGUGUUCGGGUUGUCAUGCCAAUGGCACUGCCCGGUAGCUAAAUGCGGAAGAGAUAAGUGCUGAAAGCAUCUAAGCACGAAACUUGCCCCGAGAUGAGUUCUCCCUGAGACUUUAAGUCUCCUGAAGGAACGUUGAAGACGACGACGUUGAUAGGCCGGGUGUGUAAGCGCAGCGAUGCGUUGAGCUAACCGGUACUAAUGAACCGUGAGGCUUAACCUUACAACGCCGAAG
rnacentral:rRNA from 2 species